UAACAUCCGGAAACGGGUGCUAAUACCGCAUAGUUUUCUUUGAUCGCAUGAUCGGGAAAGGAAAGACGGCCUUUGUGCUGUCGCUUAUGGAUGGACCCGCGGCGUAUUAGUUAGUUGGUGAGGUAAUGGCUCACCAAGACGAUGAUACGUAGCCGACCUGAGAGGGUGAUCGGCCACAUUGGGACUGAGACACGGCCCAAACUCCUACGGGAGGCAGCAGUAGGGAAUCUUCCGCAAUGGACGAAAGUCUGACGGAGCAACGCCGCGUGAGUGAAAAGAAGGUUUUUCGGAUCGUAAAACUCUGUUGUCAAAGAAGAACAAGUUGGAGAGUAACUGCUCCAGCCUUGUACGGUAUCUGACCAGAAAGCCACGGCUAACUACGUGCCAGCCGCUGC
rnacentral:rRNA from 1 species